CACGUAGUUAGCCGGUGCUUAUUCUUCAGGAUACCGUCAUUAGCAUUCCGUAUUAGGUAAACACCGUUUCUUCCCUGACAAAAGAGCUUUACAACCCGAAGGCCUUCUUCACUCACGCGGCAUUGCUGGAUCAGGGUUGCCCCCAUUGUCCAAAAUUCCCCA
rnacentral:rRNA from 1 species